AAGAGGCUGUAAAUACACACAUAGCGAGAGAGGGAGGGAGAGAGAUACAGAGGGGUGUGAAUAGUCUAAUGUUUUCUUUUCUCCUCUUCUUUUCUUCUUCCUUUCUCUUUCUUUUUCUCCUUCUUUCUCCCCUUCAAUCCUCCGUAAUAAUGCUGAGUUGUUUUUGUAAAUAAUACAAACAU
rnacentral:ribozyme from 13 species